CCCGUCUGGUUUGGGGGUCUACCCUUUCUCAUCCUGGCCUGCCAGCCAAGUAAAAAGAGAAAUAACUACAGACCUCUGCAACUGCUGAUACCGGUUCAGGAUGAAUUGCAGAUGCUGUGAGAGAGUCAGUGGUUCAACCAGCCAACAAACAGGAAAAGCUCAAGGCGGAGUCUUAACUGUCAGCAACUCUACCC